ACUCCUACGGGAGGCAGCAGUAGGGAAUCUUCGGCAAUGGGGGGAACCCUGACCGAGCAACGCCGCGUGAGUGAAGAAGGUUUUCGGAUCGUAAAGCUCUGUUGUUAAGGAAGAACGAGUGUGAGAAUAGAAAGUUCAUGCUGUGACGGUACUUAACCAGAAAGGGACGGCUAACUACGUGCCAGCAGCCGCGGUAAUACGUAGGUCCCGAGCGUUGUCCGGAUUUAUUGGGCGUAAAGCGAGCGCAGGCGGUUAGAAAAGUCUGAAGUGAAAGGCAGUGGCUCAACCAUUGUAGGCUUUGGAAACUGUUUAACUUGAGUGCAGAAGGGGAGAGUGGAAUUCCAUGUGUAGCGGUGAAAUGCGUAGAUAUAUGGAGGAACACCGGUGGCGAAAGCGGCUCUCUGGUCUGUAACUGACGCUGAGGCUCGAAAGCGUGGGGAGCGAACAGGAUU
rnacentral:rRNA from 1 species